AUGAACGCUGGCGGCGUGCCUAAUCCCUGCCAGUCGAGCGAACAGACGAGGAGCUUGCUCCUCUGACGUUAGCGGCGGACGGGUGAGUAACACGUGGAUAACCUACCUAUAAGACUGGGAUAACUUCGGGAAACCGGAGCUAAUACCAGAUAAUAUAUUGAACCGCAUGGUUCAAUAGUGAAAGACGGUUUUGCUGUCACUUAUAGAUGGAUCCGCGCCGCAUUAGCUAGUUGGUAAGGUAACGGCUUACCAAGGCAACGAUGCGUAGCCGACCUGAGAGGGUGAUCGGCCACACUGGAACUGAGACACGGUCCAGACUCCUACGGGAGGCAGCAGUAGGGAAUCUUCCGCAAUGGGCGAAAGCCUGACGGAGCAACGCCGCGUGAGUGAUGAAGGUCUUCGGAUCGUAAAACUCUGUUAUUAGGGAAGAACAAAUGUGUAAGUAACUAUGCACGUCUUGACGGUACCUAAUCAGAAAGCCACGGCUAACUACGUG
rnacentral:rRNA from 1 species